AAGAACAAACUUUCAGGAAUCAUUUCUAUAGCUACUUAGUAGAGAAGUUCCUCUGAACAUGUACAGUACCCAAAACCAUGAGGAGGAGGCCCAGUAUUCUCUCCAGAGUGUGAAACUGGCUUUAGGUGUAGUUUCCACAGCUGCCAACUGCCAUCAGUGACUGUUCUUCUCCUCCUUUGGAGGAGUAAGAGAGAGAGACGUAGUCUGAAUGCU